AAGUUGUCUACAACCCACAAAAUCAUACUUCGUCAUUUGCUACUUCCUACCACAUGUGAUUCCUGGAGCAAUAGUACAAAUGGAUACCUACAUAACAUAUGUUAAAUAUUUACUUUUUUAAAAAACCAAGAUAAUAAACUAUCAAAUUAUAUCUGUGCUAGGAGCAUGGCAGUCUGAAAAUCAGACUGAGAGUCUGAACAUCAAACUCAAUCUCUGUCUGUUGUAAACAGUUACCCUAUGGUCAUCCCUUCCCCAAGGGUGAGUACAGUGGCCAUUUCCUCAGAAGCAAGACUUAGUGAAGAGAUCUGUACAGUUUGGAAAUGAGGCUGGGAUUGUUUUGACCAAAAAUCUCAAGGUCCCGGAUACCUGGAGCAUUGUCCAAAUGAGGGCUACAGGCUCCAACUGAGCACAUCUGUACAGCCUCAUGGACACCUACCACUUGCCAUGCCACAGGAGGGUUGCAAAGGGGCUCUCUAAAGUCAGGGUCCAGGACCAGGGCUCCUCUUGCCUGAGCCUAAUGUGCUAUGACUAAUCAA
rnacentral:lncRNA from 1 species